rnacentral:tRNA from 1 species
GAGGGUAUAGCUCAGUGGUAGAGCAUAUGCUUAACAUGCACAAGGUUCUGGGUUGAAUCCCCAGUACUUCCA